rnacentral:rRNA from 1 species
UAAGGAAUAUUGGUCAAUGGACGCAAGUCUGAACCAGCCAUGCCGCGUGGAGGAUGAAGGCCCUCUGGGUUGUAAACUUCUUUUAUAUGGGACGAAAAAGGGUCUUUCUAGAUCAACUGACGGUACCAUGUGAAUAAGCACCGGCUAACUCCGUGCCAGCAGCCGCGGUAAUACGGAGGGUGCAAGCGUUAUCCGGAUUCACUGGGUUUAAAGGGUGCGUAGGUGGGUUGGUAAGUCAGUGGUGAAAUCUCCGAGCUUAACUUGGAAACUGCCAUUGAUACUAUCAGUCUUGAAUAUUGUGGAGGUCAGCGGAAUAUGUCAUGUAGCGGUGAAAUGCUUAGAUAUGACAUAGAACACCAAUUGCGAAGGCAGCUGGCUACGCAUAUAUUGACACUGAGGCACGAAAGCGUGGGGAUCAAACA